CGUUAGCUCGAGGGGCAGGGACGGGGAGAGGCUGGCUCGGGGGAGAAAAGUCUCGGAGGGGUCCGCGCCCCGCUCUCCGAGCGGGAGCCUCCCUUUGGGGCCCCCUCGGUGGGCAGGACGGCCGCGAGGGGCCCCGGAGGCCGCGGGGCCGGAGCCCCGGCUGCCCGGCGCUUGGGGAGCGAGCUCUCCCCGAGGGCGCAGGAUCGGGGGCGAUUCAAACAAUGUCUGAGGCUCUCCCGGUGUGAGGGAGAGCGUUGUGGCCACCUCCGCUCAUCCUGCCUCCCAAGCUCCGGGGCUGCUCGGGCUCCUGCUGCCUCCGGGAUGCGGGCGCCGCGGCUCCGCAGCGUGGACAGCCUCUGCCUUUCGUCCCGGGGCUUCGCCAAGUCUGUACAGUGAGUGGGGGAAACAGAGGAACAGCCGCUGCCCUAGGGCUUUCCUCCUUCUGGUACCAGGGAGAGCUCCCACCUGGGCAAGGGCUGGGAAGAUCAUGCCGUACCCCUUGCCUCUCCGCGCCCGAGUACUCGCAGGAGCAGGGCUAGGUGACAGCAUGACAGCACAGGGAGGAGAAUGUCUUUACCUCUUAUUGGGGCACACCAUGCUUCACAAUCCUGUGCCAGUGUUUCCCAUGUCUUACAAUCAAUUCUAAAAUUCUUCAGCGGGAUCUUGAAAGGAUUGUUGCAUUGCUUCUUCGGAGCUCCAUGUAAAGAGUUGACUUGGUGAUCUUCAGAAUUUUCCUGAGACAAUCCACAUGGGAGCAAUUCAGUUUCCUGGCAUGAUGCUGGAAUAUUCUCCAGGUUCCAGAGACAUACAGCAAUGGGAUCAGCACAAUGGCUCUAUAGACCUUCGAUGUGGUAGGCCAUCUAAUACCUCUUCUCUUCCACACUUUCCUUCAAAGACCCUCAAACAUUGAGCUAGCUCUAGCAAGUAUGCAUCAACUUUAUCACCUAUGUGGACAU